rnacentral:rRNA from 1 species
UACGUAGGGGGCAAGCGUUGUCCGGAUUUAUUGGGCGUAAAGAGCGUGUAGGCGGCCAGGUAGGUCCGUUGUGAAAACUCGAGGCUUAACCUCGAGACGUCGAUGGAAACCAUCUGGCUAGAGUCCGGAAGAGGAGAGUGGAAUUCCCGGUGUAGCGGUGAAAUGCGCAGAGAUUGGGAAGAACACCAGUGGCGAAGGCGGCUAUCUGGACGGUUUCUGACGCUAAGACGCGAAAGCGUGGGGAGCAAACAGG